rnacentral:rRNA from 1 species
AACAUCUAAGUACCCCGAGGAAAAGAAAUCAACCGAGAUUCCCUCAGUAGCGGCGAGCGAACGGGGAUUAGCCCUUAAGCAUCUUGGAAGUUAGUGGAACGGUCCUGGAAAGGCCGGCGAUACAGGGUGAUAGCCCCGUACACGAAAACAACCUUGAUGUGAAAUCGAGUAGGGCGGGACACGUGACAUCCUGUCUGAAUAUGGGGGGACCAUCCUCCAAGGCUAAAUACUCCUGACUGACCGAUAGUGAACCAGUACCGUGAGGGAAAGGCGAAAAGAACCCCUGUGAGGGGAGUGAAAUAGAACCUGAAACCGUGUACGUACAAGCAGUGGGAGCCCUUCGGGGUGACUGCGUACCUUUUGUAUAAUGGGUCAGCGACUUACAUUUUGUAGCGAGGUUAACCGUAUAGGGGAGCCGUAGGGA